CCAAAAAAAGAGGCGCGGCGUACAGCUCAGUAACACGUGGCUAAUCUGCCCUUGGGACCGGAACACCCCCGGGGAAACUGGGGCUAAUUCUCCAUAGGUGAAGAACUCUGGAAUGAGUCUUUGCCAAAAAGACCCUUACGUUACGCUCGUAAGUGUCGCCCAAGGAUGAGGCCGCGACCGAUCAGGUUGUUGGUGAGGUAAUGGCUCACCAAGCCUUUUACCGGUGCGGGCCGUGAGAGCGGGAGCCCGGAGAUGGGCACUGAGACAAGGGCCCAGGCCCUACGGGGCGCAGCAGUCGCGAAAACUUUGCAAUAAGCGAAAGCUUGACAGGGCUAUCCCGAGUGCCAUCCGCUGAGGAAGGCUUUUACCCAGUCUAGAACGCUGGGGGAAUAAGGAGAGGGCAAGUCUGGUGUCAGCCGCCGCGGUAAUACCAGCUCUCCGAGUGGUGUGGAUGUUUAUUGGGCCUAAAGCAUCCGUAGCUGGCUAAGUUAGUCCCUUGUUAAAUCCACCGAAUUAAUCGUUGGAUAGCGGGGGAUACUGCUUGGCUAGGGGACGAGAGAGGCAGACGGUAUUUCCGGGGUAGGGGUGAAAUCCUAUAAUCCCGGGAAGACCACCAGUGGCGAAGGCUGUCUGCUAGAACGCGCCCGACGGUGAGGGAUGAAAGCUGGGGGAGCGAACCGGAUUAGAUACCCGGGUAGUCCCAGCUGUAAACGAUGCAGGCUAGGUGUUUGGACGGCCACGUGCCGUUCUAGUGCCGCAGGGAAGCUGUUAAGCCUGCCGCCUGGGGAGUACGAUCGCAAGAUUGAAACUUAAAGGAAUUGGCGGGGGAGCAC
rnacentral:rRNA from 1 species